UACAGAGGGGGCAAGCGUUGUUCGGAAUUACUGGGCGUAAAGGGCGCGUAGGCGGCCUGUUAAGUCGAACGUGAAAUCCCCGGGCUCAACCCGGGAACUGCGUCCGAUACUGGCAGGCUUGAAUCCGGGAGAGGGAUGCGGAAUUCCAGGUGUAGCGGUGAAAUGCGUAGAUAUCUGGAGGAACACCGGUGGCGAAGGCGGCGUCCUGGACCAACACUGACACUGAGGAGCGAAAGCCAGGGGAGCAAACGGG
rnacentral:rRNA from 1 species